UGGGGAAUUUUGCACAAUGGGGGCAACCCUGAUGCAGCGACGCCGCGUGAUUUAGAAGGCCUUCGGGUUGUAAAAAUCUUUUGUAUGGGAAGAAAAUGACAGUACCAUACGAAUAAGGACCGGCUAAUUACGUGCCAGCAGCCGCGGUAAUACGUAAGGUCCGAGCGUUUUCCGGAAUCAUUGGGCGUAAAGGGUACGUAGGCGGAUAAGCAAGUUAGAAGUGAAAUCCUAUAGCUCAACUAUAGUAAGCUUUUAAAACUGCUCAUCUUGAGGUAUGGAAGGGAAAGUGGAAUUCCUAGUGUAGCGGUGAAAUGCGCAGAUAUUAGGAGGAAUACCGGUGGCGAAGGCGACUUUCUGGCCAUAAACUGACGCUGAGGUACGAAAGCGUGGGUAGCAAACAGG
rnacentral:rRNA from 1 species